rnacentral:lncRNA from 1 species
GAAGAUGAAGAGAUUAAUCCUAUGCACAAAAUUAAAAGUUGAGAGUUUAAAAGCUCUGACCAAAUGGGCAGCAAUCCAAUAGACAAGAAUGUCAAUAGAAACCCAGAAUUCCCUUGGCCUUUUAGAAUCAAGUAACACACAAAUGCACAAUUAUAUUAUCUUGAAGAGCAAAGGCAUAAAAUAAAGAUAUCCACAUCCAAGCUUUAGC